CCUACGGGAGGCAGCAGUGAGGAAUAUUGGUCAAUGGCCGAGAGGCUGAACCAGCCAAGUCGCGUGAGGGAAGAAUGUCCUAUGGAUUGUAAACCUCUUUUGUCAGGGAGCAAAGUCACCCAUGUGUGGGUGUUGGCGUGUACCUGAUGAAAAAACAUCGGCUAACUCCGUGCCAGCAGCCGCGGUAAUACGGAGGAUGCGAGCGUUAUCCGGAUUUAUUGGGUUUAAAGGGUGCGUAGGCGGGUUUUUAAGUCAGCUGUGAAAUUGUGGCGCUCAACUCCAAACCAGCGGUUGAAACUGGUGAUCUUGAGUGGAGUAGAGGUAGGCGGAAUGCGUGGUGUAGCGGUGAAAUGCAUAGAUAUCACGAAGAACUCCGAUUGCGAAGGCAGCAUACCGGCGCCCGACUGACGCUGAGGCUCGAAAGCGUGGGUAUCAAACAGGAUUAGAUACCCGGGUAGUC
rnacentral:rRNA from 1 species